rnacentral:pre_miRNA from 1 species
UGAAAGACAUGGGUAGUGAGAUGUUUACCAGUCCCAUCUCACUACCUUGUCUUUG